GCUAGCCUCACCUUCAACCGGGACUGCAUCUCCGGUAAACCCAACCAAUGGGGCAUUGACUCUCCGGAGAUGCCCUUCUGUCAAUCCCAUUUUUUGGUAGGCAUGAUAAUACAAAAUGUUGGCUGAGCUUCCAUUGUCAACUAGGACACGCUUUACAUCAAACCUAUUUACAAUCAUAGAGAUGACCACAGCGUCAUCAUGGGGGGUUUCGACCCCUUCU
rnacentral:lncRNA from 1 species